rnacentral:rRNA from 1 species
AGCGAACGCUGGCGGCAGGCCUAACACGUGCAAGUCGAACGAACUCUUCGGAGUUAGUGGCGGACGGGUGAGUAACACGUGGGAACGUGCCUUUUGGUUCGGAAUAACUCAGGGAAACUUGUGCUAAUACCGAAUGUGCCCUUCGGGGGAAAGAUUUAUCGCCAUUAGAGCGGCCCGCGUCUGAUUAGCUAGUUGGUGAGGUAACGGCUCACCAAGGCGACGAUCAGUAGCUGGUCUGAGAGGAUGACCAGCCACACUGGGACUGAGACACGGCCCAGACUCCUACGGGAGGCAGCAGUGGGGAAUCUUGCGCAAUGGGCGAAAGCCUGACGCAGCCAUGCCGCGUGAAUGAUGAAGGUCUUAGGAUUGUAAAAUUCUUUCACCGGGGACGAUAAUGACGGUACCCGGAGAAGAAGCCCCGGCUAACUUCGUG